AGUAAAAACUGCGUUAACUGUGUUAUUGCUGCGGAUGAUUGCAAUUCUGACAUUGACAACAUUGGUGAUAUUAAUAACAUUGGUGAUAUUAAUAACAUUGUUGACAUUAACAACAUUGGUGACAUUAACAACAGUGGUGACAUUAACAACAUUGGUGACAUUAAUAACAUUGGUGAUAUUAACAACAUUGGUGACAUUAACAACAUUGGUGACAUUAACAACAGUGGUGACAUUAACAACAUUGGUGACAUUAACAACAUUGUUGACAUUAACAACAUUGGUGACAUUAACAACAUUGGUGACAUUAACAACAGUGGUGACAUUAACAGCAGUAGUGACACUAAAAAAAGCAACGACAAAAGAAUGAAAACAUCUUCUUACUCAUAUAGCGAUGCUUAUGCAAAUUACAAUAAUAUUAACAACAUAUGUAAAAACGUGAACACGUUAAAUUACAAUAAUAAUAAAAUAACACAUAAAAAACUUAUAAAUAAUAAACAGAAAGAAAGUGUUAUAAACACUUUUAUGCAAAGUAAUCAUAAGGAACAAAUUUCAACAGAACAUCAGUUAAACGUUGACACAACAUCAGAUCCAUACGCAUAUCCAAAAGUACAUGAUGCAUCAAAUAAACAAAAAAAAACAAAAAAAAAACAUAUAUUGUUAUUUAAAUCACAUGAUACAAAAAAAAAUAUUAAUCAAAAAAUACACCAGAGUUAUUCUUCUGACUUAUGUAACAUUCAAGGUAUUAACAAAUAUGACAUAAGUUCUACUAUGAAUAUAAAAUGUGGUGUAGCUGUUAGUUCUGCUACUAUUGUUUGUGUAAAUACCUAUCACAAUAGACAUAUUUCCAUGUCUCCAAUUGUUAAUAACAUAAUUAUUGCUUGUAAUUAUAUAUUCAACAAAUAUAGUAUAAAAAAAAAAAUAAUUUUUCAUUUAGGAAACAAUCAUAUCAAUUUUACAACUAAUGAUAAAGUAGUUAACGAUAAUAAUGAAGUUGUUUAUUUUUGUAUUUAUCUGAAGGAUGAGAAACAAAAUUUAUAUAAAAAAGAGAAGGAUAAUCAAAAUACCACACUUAAAAAACAUAAAUCACAAAAAGUGUACACAGAAAACUCAUUAUUUUAUAAAAAAAAAC
rnacentral:lncRNA from 1 species